CUAAUAAUUAUUUUAACAUAAAAAAAUUAUAAUUGAUAAGAAUCAUUUUAUCAAUUUAUCAGCUAUAAUAAAGGGAGUGCUGAUUUCUAUUGAUAGUAUAACCAAAUGUACCUGAUACUGUGGUAACUUAAGAUUUGUCUUAGAUGAAAAUCUUACUUAAGCAUGAAUAGGUUGGCUUUAAUUAUGAAAUAGGUCGGUUUGUAAAAAAUUAAAGGUGAAGAGACAGAAAAAAACAUAAUGAUGGAUGACGGUACG
rnacentral:lncRNA from 1 species